GAAGGAUCAUUGGAGCCUGGGAGUUCAAGCUUGGGUAUUGAGACCCCGUCUCUACAUUUAAAAAAAGGUAAAUUCAGAAAGUUGAAAUAAUAGAAUAUUUUGGUUUGAUGGCUAUUUCCUCAGUUGACCUCAGACCUUUCAUAUUGAGCAACUGCCAAAUGGGUUCUGAUGGACUCUCAGGUCAGAUUACAAUAGAAAUAAAGAGGACUUUGAAAAUGGAAGGGUUUUGGCAUUAACAGUACAGAGAAAAGCAGUCUGGAGAGAGAGAACACCCUACAUCGUUGUGGUAUUGGUUGGCUUCUGCAGCAGUCUUAGACCAAAUCUUGGUUGUGCUAUUCGGGAUUAGGGGAUUUUUGGUGAAUUAUUCUAUGUGCUGGGCAUUACCUAGGUAAGGGUAGGAGUUGGUGAUUCAUGUUUGCUUGGUAUGUUUAUAAAAGAGGUGUUUUCACAAUUUGACAAAUAAUGUGCAUUUUAUACACAAGAUACCUCCAUGGUAUACUUACUUGUUCAUUUGGACACAGAACUAAUAUGAGAUAGGUGUCAUGGGAAAAUGGUGGAGAGAAGUGAUCUCUGAUGAAUAAGAAUACUGAGAACUUGUAAAUUGUUUGAUUUUAGGCUAUGAAUUUUCUUGUUUCAGACUGGCAUUGCUCGGGUACCACUUGCUGGAGCUGCUGGAGGCCCUGGGGUUGGUAGGGCAGCUGGUAGAGGAGUACCAGCUGGUGUGCCAAUUCCCCAGGCCCCUGCUGGAUUGGCAGGCCCUGUCCGAGGAGUUGGGGGACCAUCCCAGCAGGUGAGGAACCAGCAGAGGGUUUUAUAUUAUUGGGAGAAUAUGACUAAGCCGGAGGCCAAGGAGAUUUAAAAACCUAAGUGUAUGUGUCAUACAAUGUAAACAGCAUAUGGUCUAGGAGGAACCAAAAAACAGAUAUAUGGGAGGAAGGGAAUAAAACUAGCUGCUUAAAAUGGUCAUUGGGUGAUUAAAGUUACCCAAGUUACUCUUGGCAAGAGUAACUUGCCACUAGUGGUGAGUGAACAGAAUGCAUGGAUAUACCACAGUUGAAAACACCAAAGGGCUUUUUGGAUGUCAGUGUACAAAGAUUAGUUUUUAAAAUAUGGGAAUAGGCCGGGUGCAGUGGCUUACGCCUGUAAUCCAGCACUUUGGGAGGCCGAGGUGGGCAGAUCACUUGAGGUCAGGAGUUCGACACCGGCCCGGCCCACGUGGUGAAAACCCUAUCUCUACUAAAAAUACAAAAAUCGGCUGUGUGUGGUGGUGGGUGCCUGUAAUCCCAGCUACCAGGCAGGGAGACAGGAGAAUCGCUUGAACCCAGGAGUGGGAGGCUGCAGUGAGCUGAGAUUGCGCCAUUACACUCCAGCCUGGGUGACAAGAGUGAAACUGUCUCAAAAAAACACAUGGGAAUAAUGAGAGAAGUACAUUGCAA
rnacentral:lncRNA from 1 species